rnacentral:rRNA from 1 species
GCCAGACUCCUACGGGAGGCAGCAGUGGGGAAUAUUGGGCAAUGGGCGCAAGCCUGACCCAGCAACGCCGCGUGAAGGAAGAAGGCUUUCGGGUUGUAAACUUCUUUUCUCAGGGACGAAGCAAGUGACGGUACCUGAGGAAUAAGCCACGGCUAACUACGUGCCAGCAGCCGCGGUAAUACGUAGGUGGCAAGCGUUAUCCGGAUUUACUGGGUGUAAAGGGCGUGUAGGCGGGAAAGCAAGUCAGAUGUGAAAACCAGGGGCUCAACCUGUGGCCUGCAUUUGAAACUGUUUUUCUUGAGUACUGGAGAGGCAGACGGAAUUCCUAGUGUAGCGGUGAAAUGCGUAGAUAUUAGGAGGAACACCAGUGGCGAAGGCGGCCUGCUGGACAGCAACUGACGCUGAGGCGCGAAAGCGUGGGGAGCAAACAGGAUUAGAUACCCGAGUA